GCGUAGGUGAUGGACAACAGGUUGAUAUUCCUGUACUACCGAUAACCGUUUGAGAGAAGGGAUGACACAGUAGGAUAAGCUAAGCACACUGUUGGUUAUGUGUGCCCAAGCAUUGAGGCAGUCAAAGCAGGCAAAUCCGCUUUGAUAAUGCUGGGAUGUGAUGGGGAGCGAAAUUUAGUAGCGAAGUAGCUGAUUUCACACUGUCAAGAAAAGUCUCUAUCGAGGUUAAAGGUACCCGUACCGCAAACCGACACAGGUGGGUGAGGAGAGUAUCCUAAGGCCAGCGAGAGAACUGUUGUUAAGGAACUCGGCAAAAUGACCCCGUAACUUAGGGAUAAGGGGUGCCACCAUCCGGUGGCCGCAGAGAAUAGGCUCAAGCGACUGUUUACCAAAAACAUAGGUUUCUGCUAAGUCGCAAGACGAUGUAUAGGAGCUGACGCCUGCCCGGUGCUGGAAGGUUAAGGGGAUCUGUUAGAGCAAUCGAAGCAGUGAACUUAAGCCCCAGUAAACGGCGGCCGUAACUAUAACGGUCCUAAGGUAGCGAAAUUCCUUGUCGGGUAAGUUCCGACCCGCACGAAAGGCGUAACGAUUUGGGCACUGUCUCAACAACAGAC
rnacentral:rRNA from 1 species